UAUUUGUGUUUUGUGAUGUUUGAUGAUGAAUAAUGGAAGAUAUGUCUUAGAUUAACAUGUUUUGUCUUGGGAUUUUUGAUGAAUUUGAGUAUUUAGGGCUAAAUUGUGAAAAUAAAUUUUUGAGGGACUAAAAUGGGAAAUAAAUGAAAUACAUGGACUUGUAUGAAUACAAUGAAGAUUCGGCCUAACUAUGGUGUUGUGAGAUUUUGUGUAAUUUGUGUUUUACGCAAUAGGGACUAAAUUGCAAAAAGUGUAAAAUGUCUGGGGCAAAAUGGUAAUUUGCCCAUUUAUGUGUUUUUGGAUAAAAUUGAAUGAUUUGAUGAAUAAGAGGGUUAAAUUUGAAUAUGUUUAGAUCGCGAACUGAAGAAAACAGAAUUAGAUCGGGGAAAGUCGAAAGUAAUCGAAUAGUCGAUCGAGUCUGCGGAUAUCCGAGAUUUUGGAGACGCGUUACGAGCUCGGGGAUCAUCAGCAUAGUCCAUCACACUAUCGACUUCUUUUGGUAUUUUGUUAAAUGUUUGAACUCAAUCUUAUGGCAUGUAUAGGUUGAGCACGAUAUUAAUUACAUUUUGAUUGUAAAUUAUAAUAGCUAUGCGAAAGUAAUUAAAUUUUCAUGUUGUGAUCA